GGUUCCAUAAUGUAGCAGUUAGCACAUCUGCUUUGCACGCAGAAGGUCCUAGAUUCGUGCCCCAAUGGAGCCA
rnacentral:tRNA from 1 species